rnacentral:rRNA from 1 species
GACGAACGCUGGCGGCGUGCCUAAUACAUGCAAGUAGAACGCUGAAGAGAGGAGCUUGCUCUUCUUGGAUGAGUUGCGAACGGGUGAGUAACGCGUAGGUAACCUGCCUUGUGGCGGGGGAUAACUAUUGGAAACGAUAGCUAAUACCGCAUAACAAUGGAUGACACAUGUCAUUUAUUUGAAAGGGGCAAUUGCUCCACUACAAGAUGGACCUGCGUUGUAUUAGCUAGUAGGUGAGGUAACGGCUCACCUAGGCGACGAUACAUAGCCGACCUGAGAGGGUGAUCGGCCACACUGGGACUGAGACACGGCCCAGACUCCUACGGGAGGCAGCAGUAGGGAAUCUUCGGCAAUGGGGGCAACCCUGACCGAGCAACGCCGCGUGAGUGAAGAAGGUUUUCGGAUCGUAAAGCUCUGUUGUAAGUCAAGAACGAGUGAGAGAGUGGAAAGUUCACACUGUGACGGUAGCUUACCAGAAAGGGACGGCUAACUACGUG